rnacentral:rRNA from 1 species
CGCGGCCUAUCAGCUUGUUGGUGAGGUAACGGCUCACCAAGGCAUCGACUGGUAGCUGGUCUGAGAGGACGAUCAGCCACACUGGGACUGAGACACGGCCCAGACUCCUACGGGAGGCAGCAGUAGGGAAUCUUGCGCAAUGGGCGAAAGCCUGACGCAGCAACGCCGCGUGGGGGAUGAAUGCCUUCGGGUUGUAAACCCCUUUCAGCAGGGACGAAAAUGACGGUACCUGCAGAAGAAGCUCCGGCCAACUACGUGCCAGCAGCCGCGGUAAUACGUAGGGAGCGAGCGUUGUCCGGAAUUAUUGGGCGUAAAGAGCUCGUAGGCGGUUCAGUAAGUCGGGUGUGAAAACUCAAGGCUCAACCUUGAGACGCCACUCGAUACUGCUGUGACUUGAGUCCGGUAGAGGAGUGUGGAAUUCCUGGUGUAGCGGUGAAAUGCGCAGAUAUCAGGAGGAACACCAGCGGCGAAGGCGGCACUCUGGGCCGGUACUGACGCUGAGGAGCGAAAGCAUGGGGAGCAAACAGGAUUAGAUACCCUGGUAGUCCAUGCCGUAAACGUUGGGCACUAGGUAUGGGAUCAUAUCAACGGAUUCCGUGCCGUAGCUAACGCAUUAAGUGCCCCGCCUGGGGAGUACGG